GACUAUAACUGUAAAUAAGUCCUUUUGCAGUUUCCUGGUUAUUUCCUUAAGAUUAAUCAAUAAUAGCAGAAUUUCAGACUAAGUAGGGUAGAAUGGAAGAUGAAGCUGUGAUACUUGCCUUUAAGGUUUAUUUUCCAUACAACUCAUGAAGAAUCAUAAAUAAAGAUUAAAAAGGAAAUUAGAGGACUCUGACGGUAUGGUGCCAAAAGCAGAUGAAAAAAAAUGGACAUGAUGAAGAAGACACAAAGAUAGAAAAUGAAUCAAGAGAGUGCAGUAUGAUGAAAACAAGCUAGAGCAGUACCACUAAGAAGAAACUUCCUAUAAGGGCCAAAUAUGGUGGGUGAAUGGAUUUAAUAUGGUGAGCAAAUGAUGUCAUUGCUGGAUUUGGCAAUGACCAUGUCAGGAAAGCAAGAAGAGAACUGUCACCAGAAGCUAACCAUACUGGCACCCUGAUCUUGGUCUCCCAGCCUACUGAACUGUGAGAAAUAAAUGUUUGUUGUU
rnacentral:lncRNA from 1 species